rnacentral:lncRNA from 1 species
CGACAUUCAAGUUAAAUUUAGAGAACAAAAUGAGUAGCAACAAUUUUUUUGAGAGGAAUUGCUUAAUUUACUUUGAUCUUUAAGGCUUUGGUGAUUUAUAUUGAUACUUGUCGAAUAGUUGGUUGAACAACUGUGAGAUCGUACGAUUCCAAGAUUGUAGGAUCAUUCAACAUGCCAUAGCAGACAAGAUAUUUUCAUCCUUAAUUGCUCCCACA